UUUACUGUCUCUUACUUCCAAUCCGUGAAAUUGACCUUCCCGUGAAGAGGCGGGAAUACAACAAUAAGACGAGAAGACCCUAUGGAGCUUUAAUUAACCGACCCAAAGAGACCCAUCAAUUUAACCGACAGGAACAACAAACCUCUGUAUGGGCCGACAAUUUAGGUUGGGGUGACCUCGGAGAACAGAACAACCUCCGAGUGAUUUAAAUCAAGACUAACCAGUCGAAAGUAUUACAUCACUUAUUGAUCCAAAAGUUUGAUCAACGGAACAAGUUACCCUAGGGAUAACAGCGCAAUCCUAUUUCAGAGUCCAUAUCGACAAUAGGGUUU
rnacentral:rRNA from 1 species